UACGUAGGGGGCAAGCGUUGUCCGGAAUUAUUGGGCGUAAAGAGCGUGUAGGCGGCCAGAUAAGUCCGCUGUGAAAUCUCGAGGCUCAACUUCGAGCUGUCGGUGGAAACUAUCUGGCUAGAGUCCGGAAGAGGAGAAUGGAAUUCCUGGUGUAGCGGUGAAAUGCGCAGAUAUCAGGAAGAACACCCGUGGCGAAGGCGGGUCUCUGGGCCGAUACUGACGCUGAGGAGCGAAAGCGUGGGGAGCGAACAGG
rnacentral:rRNA from 1 species